CAGGCAAAUGAACAAAUUCAGAAAGCAGGAGGCUUCAAAGCCUCCAGUAUCAUAAUUGCUCUGACAGAUGGUAAGUUGGACGGUCUGGUGCCAUCAUAUGCAGAGAAAGAGGCAAAGAUAUCCAGGUCAUUUGGGGCUAGAGUUUAUUGUGUUGGUGUCCUUGACUUUGAACAAGCUCAGCUGGAAAGAAUUGCUGAUUCCAAGGAUCAAGUUUUCCCUGUCAAAGGUGGAUUUCAAGCUCUUAAAGGGAUAAUUAAUUCUAUACUAGAUCGGUCAUGCACUGAAAUCCUGGAAUUACGGCCUUCAAGUGUCUGUGUGGGGGGUAAGUGGUU
rnacentral:lncRNA from 1 species